rnacentral:lncRNA from 1 species
GGGGGGCGGGAGGCGCUCGGCCCGUCGCCCCAGGAGCCCGCUUUGUGACCUUGGGGGCCUUAUCCGGGCUUUCCCUCAUCUGCAGAAGGAGCCCCGGUGGGCUGCUCGGCUGUCUUCUGCUGCCGGCAGGAGCUGGUCCUCCACCUUCUCUGGUCAUCCGUGGGUGGACUUCUUGGGAGAAAGAACUCAGUGUCGUCUUUGGAGGCAGAGACUCUCCACUGCUUCUGGGGUGAGUUCCAAUUCCAAGGGUCCCCCCAACCCCCUACCCCCAGCAGUGGUCAGUCUGUUCUGGAACAGGACAGUAGGGCCAAAAUGCUGAGUUUGAAAAAUCCUGUGUCCAUCACAUUGGCUGGCGACUUUAGACAUUCUUUUAGUAAGUAUUUGAAUGCUUCUUAAGUGCUGGUGUGAGGGGUAUUCAGACAUGAGCAAAGGGAGCUUCUGCCGCCCAGGAGCUGGCUGUACUCAGGGAGAGAGAUGAUAAGACAGUCUCAUAAGUGUAUUUUUAAGAUGUGGUGAGUGCUGUGAGGGAAGAAUUACAGGGAACUGUGUCACCCACUGGGGCCCAGGGGGCUGCCUCAGAAGACCACCCAGGAAAAGGGGAAGAGAGUUCUGGGGAUGGGGAAUAACACACACACGGCCUGAGAUGAGAUGAACAUGCAGCCACUUUAUUCCAAAGCUGUGAAGUGUUCUUCUGUUGUGUCCUCAUAUAUGGCGGCCUGGCUCUGGGAGUUUAAAGUUGCUGCUUCAGGUGGUGGCCAGGCAGGAGACAGCUCUACUGAGCUUGGCAUGGCACCUAGGCCCAGCCUGAAUCUGCGGCCUGAGGCUUGAAAGAGAAAAGCCCUCCUCUGGGCCUCAAGUGGGUGGCAGUUGGGAAACCGUUGCUGCGUGUACCCAGCGCCCUGAGUGCUGGGCAGGGCCGUGUCCUCCUGGAGGUGGCUAGCAUAACACGCAGCACGUGGAUUUCGACACUUUGGGCAUCUUCACACGCCAAAGAGCUGUGGACACUGAGAAGGUUGGCUUCUGGGAGAGGCUGGAGGUUGGGGUGGCGCUCCCAGGCGUAGUUCUGUGACUUGAGUCUUUGGGGGUUAGUGAUUCUGAAACUAGAAAGGGGGCUGGAGCCAGUCAGGGGGCACGUGUGACCUUCGGGACAGAGGUGGCUUCUGGAUGCCUGUGUGUCCCAGCCUUUGACUUGGGUGAGCCUGUGUGAAUGCUCAGAGCUUCCUGGCUAUUAAAGUGUGGAUUUUAAAGCAACUGCUCAAAGCAGUUCAGGAAAUGAGUACGCGCGGCUGCUAUGGUUUGGGUGUUUGUCCAGGUGUCAGGCUGUUCUCGCAUUGCUGUAAAGAAAUACCUGAGACUGGGUCAUUUAUAAAGAAGAGGUGAGACUGGCGCAUGGUUCUGCAGGCUGUACAGGAAGCAUGGUGCUGGCAUCUGCCUGGCUUCUAGGGAGCCUCAGGAAGCCUUUAAUCAUGGUGGACGGUGAGGGGGAGUAGGUAUGUCACAUGGCGAAAACAGGAACAAGCAAGAGAGAGUGAGUGGGGAGGCGCCACACACUUUUAAAGACGACC